CCUACGGGAGGCAGCAGUGAGGAAUAUUGGUCAAUGGCCGGAAGGCUGAACCAGUCAUGCCGCGUGAAGGUCAGUGCCCUAUGGGCGUUAAACUUCUUUUGUGCGGGAGCAAUAAUGGUCACGUGUGGCCAGACGAGAGUACCGUACGAAUAAGCAUCGGCUAACUCCGUGCCAGCAGCCGCGGUAAUACGGGGGAUGCGAGCGUUAUCCGGGAUUAUUGGGUUUAAAGGGUGCGUAGGCUGGGAGGUAAGUCAGCGGUGAAAUGCCCCCGGUCAACGGGGUGCAGUGCCAUUGAUACUGCCUUGCUGGAAUGCGGAUGCCGUGGGAGGAAUGUGUGGUGUAGCGGUGAAAUGCAUAGAUAUCACACAGAACACCGAUUGCGAAGGCAGCUCACGAGUCCGCGAUUGACGCUGAUGCACGAAAGCGUGGGUAUCAAACAGGAUUAGAUACCCUAGUAGUC
rnacentral:rRNA from 1 species